rnacentral:rRNA from 1 species
AAAGACCUUAUGCUUUUGGAGCGGCCGAUGUCUGAUUAGCUUGUUGGUGAGGUAAAGGCUUACCAAGGCGACGAUCAGUAGUUGGUCUGAGAGGACGACCAGCCACACUGGGACUGAGACACGGCCCAGACUCCUACGGGAGGCAGCAGUGGGGAAUUUUGGGCAAUGGGCGCAAGCCUGAUCCAGCAACGCCGUGUGAGUGAAGAAGGCCUUCGGGUUGUAAAGCUCUUUCAGUCGAGAAGAAAAGGUUGUGACUAAUACUCACAAUCUAUGACGGUAUCGACAGAAGAAGCACCGGCUAACUACGUGCCAGCAGCCGCGGUAAUACGUAGGGUGCGAGCGUUAAUCGGAAUUACUGGGCGUGUAGGGUGCGCAGGCGGCUCUGUAAGUCUGAUGUGAGGUGGCCGGGCUUAACCUGGGAGUU